rnacentral:lncRNA from 1 species
GUUCGGCGUCAGCAAAAAAGAAGCCAAGGAACGUGUUUAUCUCUUCUUCACAAAUACGUAUUUCAUUGAAUCUCGAUAUUUAUCAUGUUUAUAAUUUUUCUAACAUUGACGUUCUACCUCCAUAAGCCUGCAAAUGUCAUGGCAGGUCACAUAUAAUGAAGUAAACAGUUAAACACUCAAUUGUAUACUAUACAAACAAUUAAAUACUUGUAAUUUUAUACCCAUUAUUUUAAAAUAUAUAAGAAGUUUUAUGUUGACAUACAUAUCUCCUGCAUUCAGAAUCAGCAUUAUUUUUUUUUUCAUUUAUUUAAAAGACAAAAAAGUUUCAAUAACCAAAACUGGGCAUCUUAUUGGCUUCAGAUCAUUUUCCAUCUUUAUGCUCACAGGCCCCAGAACAGCAUAAAAAAACAAGGAUAAAUUUGUUUUUGUCUGAGAAUGGAAAGCUGAAAUUGUUUUGAAAUAUGAUUUUGCUUCUUAAAUGGAUUGUAUAUUUUCAUUUGACAUUAGGCUUAACAUGUAUAAUUUCCAUUUAGUGUAUAACAAAAGGAAAGUUUAAGCUAAAAUCAUAUUAGGUGGAAUGAUAUGUUUUUUUAAAGUGUGGUAUAAAUGCAGAAUUAAAACUCCAUUCUUAUUACAAAAUCAGAUACAAAACAAAAAUGAAUUCAUCAAAAAUGCAUAAUUAAAAGCAGUUUCAAAAAAUGCUGAGCAAUUCAACAUUAACUUUAAGCAAAACAAAAAUGCUGUUCUAUUAAAAAAAAAUAAAA